GAGAGAAGAGGACCUCGGCCCUCGGCCCUCGUCGACGGACUUGUCAAGAAGCAAUUUCAGCCCUGGUCAUCAUUUCACAGAAGCUAUAGGCGCAGAAGGAGAGCUACAAACAACGCGUGAAGCUGGCUAUAGGCGCAGAAGGAGAGCUACAAACGGAUUGCCAACUUCUAAAUGAUGGUGAGGGGAAGAGUGCGCAGAGAGGCAGACAUAUCACAGUCAGACAGACAGAGUUGGAUGGAGACCGCUGAUACACUGGCAGCAGGUUUUCUUCAAGUGGACGGACAAAUAUCUGGCUCAAAGGUCAACACUUUUUCUGUCUGAAAUAGAUAUGCAUCAACAACCAUGUAAUAGUGUCCUUGACCGAGACAGUGAGUAGCUUAGGUUGUGAUGGAAAAGAGAGGGAAAGGGAGAAAGAGGAACGGAGAGAGUCGCCUAUGAGAUGAAAGAAGCACCCCUAAGCAGACGCAGAUUAGCUUUGCUCUAUUGAGGAGGCAAGGGGCAGAACACAAGGUCUUACUGGAUGCCACUAAGCCUUUCAAGACCACCCUUCAGCCUGGGAUGUACACCUCCCCCGUCCCAUCCCAUUUAUCCAGUAACUGACACACACCGUUUACAUACACAUUAGCCCAGGGAGACCUUACUGGCCGAACAUUCAGGCUCAAAGCCAGGUCAUGAUCUGUUCACCCAGAAGUCAUUAGUCAUUUUAUAGCUUUGAUGCAGUUUUUAUUCACAUUCAUUGAUAAAGUGCAAUGAUAGGUUUUAUACCAGAGUACUCUGUGCGUCAUCAAACGUUUUACCCCUUUGUAGGUAAAGGCCUCAGGAUAGCUAAUAGCUUCAUUAAUAUUUAAUACAGAGUUCUUCUGUUAUGACAGCUGUUUAGUGUUGGACAAUUUAAGCUGAAAUAAUUAUAAAAAUAGAAUUUAUGAAAACUAGGAAAUAAAAAAAAAUGGGAAAGAAAUAAGCUAAUAUUUUGUUUCUGUCGUACUUUAAAAGAGGAAGCUAGAAUAUGUUUUGCUAUAUGUUUGG